UAAUUGAAGAGUUUGAUCAUGGCUCAGAUUGAACGCUGGCGGCAGGCCUAACACAUGCAAGUCGAACGGUAACAGGGAGCAGCUUGCUGCUCUGCUGACGAGUGGCGGACGGGUGAGUAAUGUCUGGGAAACUGCCUGAUGGAGGGGGAUAACUACUGGAAACGGUAGCUAAUACCGCAUAACGUCUACGGACCAAAGUGGGGGACCUUCGGGCCUCAUGCCAUCAGAUGUGCCCAGAUGGGAUUAGCUAGUAGGUGGGGUAACGGCUCACCUAGGCGACGAUCCCUAGCUGGUCUGAGAGGAUGACCAGCCACACUGGAACUGAGACACGGUCCAGACUCCUACGGGAGGCAGCAGUGGGGAAUAUUGCACAAUGGGCGCAAGCCUGAUGCAGCCAUGCCGCGUGUAUGAAGAAGGCCUUCGGGUUGUAAAGUACUUUCAGCGGGGAGGAAGGCGUUGUGGUUAAUAACCGCAGCGAUUGACGUUACCCGCAGAAGAAGC
rnacentral:rRNA from 1 species